rnacentral:lncRNA from 1 species
CGCCAAAGAAGACAACAUAUAUAAUAACAAAGUGUAUAGUGAUAAAUGUUACAAUAUAAUCAGAGUACUUAUUACAUAGCGGAAGACUUACAAAAUAAAUUAUAAAUAUAAAACGAACUAAGGAUCAUCCUUGGCGCAAGUCAACUGGGAGACGCCACCUAGAUCGAAUCGAACUCCUCGUUGUGUGGCUCCUCUUGAACCACCUGUACUUCUCCUGUGGGGGGGGGGGGUGUGAGACAGCAAGGGUGAGCUCACACAUGUUCAUCGCUCAACAAGUUGUGGGGAAUAAUGUGGCAUGAACUCAUAAAAGAUGGGAGUUCAUAUGAUGUGUAAGGCUAAUCAACAAUAGGGGUUAAAGCUGAGCAUUGCUUUUAAUAAGUUGGUCAAAAUUUUAUUAGCAGUUACUAAAUGUAAGUAAAUACCAAACCAUAAUAAACAUAAUAGAACAAAAUUAAUAAUAAACCCAUGCAAAUGCAAAUGACAAAUUGAAUUUAAGUUCCAUAAAUUAAUCAUCAGAGAGUCCUGAGUUGCUCAUGACCGCGAGCACGGUUAGUAUAUGUAAUACUCAAAAUUGUUUACAAGGAAUAAAUAGUGAUUUCCCUAUUGUAUGUGCCAUAAUUGCAUCAUAAAAAGAGCAUACCAAAAAAUUAUGAGGGAUUAAUUAAAACAAAUGAUACUAAAAUAAAAUAAAGUGCAUCAUGUUGGAGUUUAUAUGUUUGUGCAUUAAAUAAAAAUAAUAAUAAUAUAAAAAUAACUAGAAAUUGAAUUAAGCCCUAAAUUAAACCUAGGGUUUUUGAAAAUGAGAAGAAGAGAAAUGAUAUAAAAAUAUAAAUAAUAUAAUUGUAUUUCCAAAACUUGUAUUUUAAUUUCUCAAUAUGAUUUGAGAAUAAAUUUGACACAAAUUUGAAUUUAAAAUUCGAAUUCAAAUUGGAAUUGGAAAUAGAAAAUAAAAAUCAAAAGAAAAGGAAAUAAACCCCAACUGGGCUCACUCUAGCAAUUUCGGCCCACCUAACCUAACGCACUCACGCGCGGCCCAGCUGACCUUUGCGCCGACAUGUGGGCCCCGCCCGUCGGUCACGCGCACGCCUGCUUGCUCCGUAUCUUACACCGACAGGUGGGCCUCGACGUCAGUCCCUCGCGUUUCCCUCACUGGCUCGUGCGCGCCUCACCGAUUUGGUGGCCCACCUGUCACCCGUUCAUCGCACGACUCGGAGUCCCUCGUUGACGGGUGGACCAUCCCCGUCAGAAUCGUCCCCAACGACUUCGCGGGGAGCUCGGCGGGGCUUGCGGCGCCAUGACGACUCCGAGCCUGGCGCAAUGCUGAGCCCUCUUGGGUAUAAAGCCGAGCGCCGCCAUCCCUUAUCUCCGUCCUCUCCUUUAUCCCCAACCUCUCGCCAGCCACCAAAUCACCAUCGCGAUUCUCUCGGGCCAAACUCACUGCCGUCGUGGUCCCGCGCCGUCAACACAGGGGAGGCCACGGUUGAGGGCCGGGUUGCCUCUGCGCGGUCUCUGGAGUGCGCGUGUGGAUCCGUUGGGCGCAAUCGAAGCUCUGUGCGCCGGUAAUCCUUCACCGGGAUCGGAGGUCCGCCGUGCGCCGCGGCCAGGGGGUUCUUCACCGCGACUUGAGGUAAUUGGUGUGCCAUUACCUUCGCGUUUCACUGGUGGGUGUGUGGAGUGGUUCAAUUUUAGAAUUGGCGCUCUAUUGCGCGGAAUCGUGGGGAGUCCGGCCAUGGGCCGCCGCGCUCCGGCCGGUGGCGCCGCUGGUGGCCGGGGGGAAGAUGGCUGUUGGGUUGCUGACUGUCGGAUUCGCGAUGGGUGGCUCAGAUCUAGCCAGGUGUGCCGAUUGGGUUGGGACAAGCGUGCGCCGUUGGAUGGAUGUUGGACGGCUCGGAUUAGGUCUCAUAUCGUUUCAGCGGCACCUAACCACAACCAUUGAUCCGCGAUCUCGCGGCUCAUGUUGGUUCUAGAUUCAUUAAACCGUGACCCUUGGAUUUGGAUCCGAUGGAUUAGAUUGGAUACCGGUUCAAUGUUAUAUGGUCUAAUCUCGGCCCUUCAAUUCUAAUCGGACGGUCACGAUAGGUCUGUACCCCUUCGCGGGUACUCUUUACAAAAGAAACCUUAUGUUUUUAGGAUUUAGAACCCGCCGUCCCUAGCGACUGUGCUCUGUGUCUUGGUGUUCUUACGCCCGAGACCCCUGCACUUCUCAUAUUUUAGCGCCCAGUCCAGAGGAGUUUAAAAAACGAAGAAAUAAUAUCAGAAAUUCAUUUUUAAUACAAAAACAAAUCUAGAAACUUGUAAAAUUCAUAGAAAUCCCAUUCUUGAUCCAAAUUUAACCAUUCCAAUUUCUAAAAUUUUGUAACAAUAUUCUCUGUCACUUAGUAUCUCUGUUUUGGCAUAAAAACAGUAAGAACAUUAAUUUAACAUUUAAUCCUAUUAUAAUCACCUUAAAUCUUAGGAAAUUCAUAACUUGAAUUCUAUAACUCCAAAUUCAGUGAUUCCAGUUCCUAUGAUCUCAUUUUAAUGUGUAGAUUUUCACUGUAUAUUUUAUUUACAUGAUUGGUGUGAUGUUGAUUUUGGCUAUACUAUGUAUGUAUUGCGUUGAUGCGAAUAGACGAGCAAGCCACUGUGGAAACUGAGGUUCAACAAGUAGAAGUAGCUGAGCAGGAGCUCAUUGAAGGCAAGUUGUGCCCUUGAUCACUUACUUUCCCAGCCAUGUUCUUAUUAAAUUUAAUGAUCUGCAUAGGAUAAUUUUGAUGGGAGCCUUUAUGUUACCCCAGUUUUGAUUACCUCUAUACCUUGUUCACCCCUGAAAUAUUUUUGUGUAGUACUUGCUAUUGCUUUAUGUGGAUUGGGUAUGGAGAUACACUAUUCAUGAUUAUUCUGUUAUUAACUUGUUAUUAUUAUUGUUCAUGUUAAGAUCAUUAAAUUAAUGGGAACAUGGAGCGACCACCCGGGAAAACAGUGCUACCACAAGGGUAUAAUGGGACGCCCUUGGCUGACUAAUUAGGAAAGCUAGUGGAAGACUACCUUACCCGAAAGGGGCAAGGGCAGUAGGGGAGAGGUCAGUGCGGGGAGGUCCCUGGUUGAUUUUGCUGCGAUGGCUGUCAGCCAGGAACCCUGUACUGGAUCUUCCUAUAAACUGUAGCGGGUUUUCGGAAGCUAGUGGAACUUUGUAAAGGCCUCGUAGUGGAUCCCUAGCCAUUCACCUCGGUAGUGUCUAAGGGCCUUGCAAACCCAGGCGACAUGGGAUACAUGACUUGUGGGUAAAGAUGCGCAACCUCUGCAGAGUGUAAAACUAGUAUACUAGCCGUGCUCACGGUCAAGAGCGGCUCGGACCCUCACAUGAUUAAUUAUGGAACUUAAAUUCAAUUUGACAUUUGCAUCACAUUUGGGAUUAUUUUACUAUUAUUGUUCUUUAUUAUUAUUAAGGUUUGGUAUUUACUUACACUUAGUAAUUGCUAAUAAAAUUUUGACCAACUUAUAAAAGCAAUGCUCAGCCUCAGCCUUUAUUCCAUUGAUUAGCCUUACACUACAUGAACUCCCACCUUUGGUGAGUUUAUGCCACAUUAUUCCCCACAACUUGUUGAGCGAUGAACGUAUGUGAGCUCACUCUUGCUGUCUCACACCCCCCCACAGGAGAAGAACAGGUGGUUCAGGAGGAGCCACAAGGCGAGGAGUAUGAUCUGAUCUAGGUGGCGUUUCUCAGUUGACAUUGGCGCCAACGAUCCUUAGUUCGUUUAUAUUAAUUCUCUUACUUUGUAAUAAGUCUUCCGCUAUGUAAUAAGUACUCUGAUGUAUCGUGACAUUUAUCUCUAUACACUCUGUUAUUAUAUAUGUUGUCUUCUUGGCGCAUGUAUGAGAUGCACCCGGCUUUGUUCUUUAAAACCGGGUGUUACAGUAUACCAGUUUUACACUCAGCAGAGGUUGUACUCUGUACCCACAGGUCGUGUAUCCCAUGUCGCCAGGGUUAGCUAGACCCUUAGACACUACCGAGGUGAAUGGCUAGGGAUCCACUACAAGGCCUUUACAAAGUUCCACUAGCUUUCGAAAACCCGCUACAGUUUAUGGGAAGAGCACUUGCAAGAAUCCCCCGUCUGACCGCCAUCGCAGCAAAAUCAACCCGAGAACCUCCUUGCAUGCAAUCCCCUACUCCCUUGCCCCUUUCGGGUAAGGUAGUCUUCCACUAGCUUUCCUAGUUAGGACUUGUUCGGUUAUUCCUAUCCCAUGUGGAUUGGAUGGGAUUGGAAAAAAUAUGAAAUUUUUUGACUUGUUUGGGAUUAAAACCCACCCAAUCCCACUCAAUUCAUAUGGAUUGAGAUCAAUACGAACAAGCCCUUAGUUGGCCAAGGGCGUCCCAUUAAACCCUUGUGGUGGCACGUGUUUCUCAAGUUAAGCUCCAUGUUCCAAUUAACAUUAAUGAUCUUGACAUGAACAUAAAUAGAAUAACAAAAUAAUUGGAACAUGGAUAUAAUGAAAGAUUAUCCCAAAACCAUGUAAAGUAAUAGCAAAACUACCUAAGUGAUUCAGGGGUAAACAAGGUAAUCAGGAUAAAUAGACAAGGGUCCCAUCAAAAUUAAACCUAUGCAUUGAAUAGUGAUAAUAAAGAAUAUUAUUAGGUAAACAAAAGUGAUCAAGGGCACAACUUGCCUUCAAUGAGCUCCUGCUCAGCUACUUCUAAUUGCUGGUCACCAGGAUGUCACACCCGGUUUUGGAAGGCAAACCGAAUGCGAACUAUGUACGUGCCAGGAUCAAAAUUCACGUACACAGCGAUUACAUAAAUGAACACCAUCGCAUAGUGCUCGAAUAAUAACAUAAAAGAGUAUUAACUUAUUACAUCACAAUGUCAGAGACAUCCACAUAGUCAUCAACUCAACGGGUAAAUCAAAGUGCUAAGCGAAACGCAGUAAAGAUAGGGCCUUCACAGGCAGCUGACUAGGGGUUUGCCGCUAACCCACACCUAGAACUCGUCGUAGUCUUGGAACUCCUGGAAGUCUCCUUCCACGACUUCGUCUUCUCCUGAGCAGUGGUUGCAAUGUGGACAACCUGGUGUUUUGUGGUAAAGCAAGGACGAGUACACAUCAACGUACUCAGCAAAUGCCCCGUUUGGCUGAAGUGGACUAGCUCUUUAUGUGGAGUUAGGCACAAGCAAUUGCUUUUAGUUGAUCAGGUAUUUAUUGUUAGUAGAAGCCAGAUUUUAUCAUAAAACCCAAGUUAUAAUCCCAAAAAGUACCUCCUCAGAGAGGAAAUACUAGAAUACUUAAUUAAAGUCACCAUCUGUCGGCGUUUCGAGACCGGGGGGUCCCUAAGCCGACGAGUGAGUGUGCCGUGUGCCCCAGCCCAGAUGGGUCGAGCGCGUGGGCGAGCGCGAAGGGGGGAAAGCGAGGUGGCCGGAGACGGACGUGAGAGAGGUGGAAAUCCCGCGGCCUUCGUGUUCGUCCCGCGCCCAGGUCGGGUGCGCUUGCAGUAGGGGGUUACAAGCAUCCACGCGGGUGAGGGAAGCGAGCGGCCCCAAGAGAGCGCCUGUCCCCGUCCUCGUCCCCGCGCGGCCAACCUUCUCUAAGAAGGCCCUGGUCCUUCCUUUUAUAGGCGUAAGGAGAGGAUCCAGGUGUACAAUGGGGGUGUAGCAGAGUGCUACGUGUCUAGCGGGGGGAGAGCUAGUGCCCUAAGUACAUGCCAAUGUGGCAGCCGGAGAGAUCUUGGCACCCUGCUGGCGUGAUGUCGUGGCUGUCGGAGGUGCAACGGAGCCUGGCGGAGGGACAGCUGUUGGAACGGUUGUGUCCUUGCUGACGUCGCCCUGCUUCCGUAAGAGAGCUGAGAGCCGCCGUCGUCACGGGGCUAGCGGGGCGCCAUCAUUGCCUAUCUGGCGGAGCUAGCCAGAUGGGACACCGGUCUUGUUCUCUGCGGCCCGAGUCGGCUCGGGGUAGGGUGAUGAUGGCGCUUCCUGUCGGCGUGGCUGGCCUAUGCCCUAGGUUGGGCGACGCGGAGGCUCCUCCGAAGCCGGGGUCGAGUCUGUCUUCCAUGGCCGAGGCUGAGUCCGAGCCCCUGGGUCGGGCGAGGCGGAAGUCGUCGGCAGAGGCCAGGGCGGAGUCCGAGCCCUGGGGUCGGGUGAAGCGGAGUUCAUCGUCUUCUAGGGCUGAGCCCGAGUCCGAGCCCUGGGUCGGGCGAAGCGGAGUUCGUCGUCUUCCGGGGCCUUAGCCCGAGUCCGAGCCCUGGGUCGGGCGGAGCGGAGUUCACCGUCUUCCGGGGCUUAGCCCGAGUCCGAGCCCUGGGUCGGGCGGAGCGGAGUUCGCCGUCUUCCGGGGCUUAGCCCGAGUCCGAGCCCUGGGUUGGGCGGAGCGGAGUUCGCCGUCUUCCAGGGCUUAGCCCGAGUCCGAGCCCUGGGUCGGGCGGAGCGGAGUUCGCCGUCUUCCGGGGCUUAGCCCGAGUCCGAGCCCUGGGUCGGGCAAAGCUUCCUAUGGCGCCUUUGGCAGGGCCUGGCUUCCUUUGCGUUAAAUGCUCCUGCGGCUUGGCCGGUCGGUGCGGCGAUUUAGUCAGGGUUGCUUCUUAGCGAAGGCAAGGCCUCGGGCGAGCCGGAGACGUGUUCGCCGUUGAAGGGGGGCCUCGGGCGAGACGGAAACCCCUCGGGGUCGGCUGCCGUUGCCCGAGGCUAGGCUCGGGCGAGGCGUGAUCGAGUCGCUCGUACGGACUGAUCCCUGACUUAAUCGCACCCAUCAGGCCUCUGCAGCUUUAUGCUGAUGGGGGUUACCAGCUGAGAAUUAGGCGUCUUGAGGGUACCCCUAAUUAUGGUCCCCGACAGUAGCCCCCGAGCCUCGAAGGGAGUGUUAGCACUCGCUUGGAGGCUUUUGUCGCACUUUUUUGCAAGGGGGCCAGCCUCUCUCGGUUGCAUUUUGUUCCGGUGGGUGCGCGCGAGCGCACCCGCCGGGUGUAGCCCCCGAGGCCUCGGAGGAGUGGUUUCACUCCUUUGAGGUCUUAAUGCCUUGCGUAACGCUUCAGCAGGUCUGGUUGUUCCCUCAUGCGAACUGGCCGUAGCCCGGGUGCACGGUCGGGGCCCAAGUUCUCGGGCUGGUAUGUUGACGCUGUCAACGAUUUGGCCAGAGCCGGGUCUGCGAGAGCAGCCCCCGAGCCUCUGCAUAGGGCGAGAGGACGAUCAGGGACAGACUCGGCUUUUUUACGUACGCCCCUACGUCGCCUUUCCGCAAGGAGGAGGGGGGGGAGAGCGCCAUGCUACCCUCGAUGGGCACCGAACAUGGUGUCUCCGGUGAGCUGCAAGCGGGUAAUCCGAGUGGACGUCCGUGCCCCGUUCGUUAGGGGUCGGCUAGGGGCCCAGAGGCACGCCCAAAAGUACCUGCGGGUGAUCUGCCGGACCCGGUCCCCUGGCGACGGGGUCCGAGGGCUCGAGCCUCCCUCUGAUGGGAUUUCGUUGCAAGAUCGCUCCCGCUGGUCUCGGAAAUGUCCUAGGGUACCUCGGGAGCGCAGCCCGAGCCUUGGUUAUGUAUCGAACGUACCCCUGGUCAUCCCUCGCUCGGCGUCUGGGGCGACUGUGAACCCUUCGGGGGCCAGCCUUCGAACCCCUGAUCAGUAAUGGGCACGGAGCCCGAGUAGCCUGAGGCGGCCGUGGAACCCUUCGGGGGGCCGGCCUUCGAACCUCUGACCAGUAGUGGGUGUAGGGCCCACGCGAUCUGAGGCGGCUGUUGAACCCUUCGGGGGGCCAGCCUUCGAACCCCUGAUCAGUAAGGAGGCUCGGAGCCUGGUUCCUUCAUGGGGAAGGAUCCCUUUCGGGGUAUCCCCCUUUCUUAGUCCCUGUUGCAAGAGAUAGAGAAAGAGGAAAGAAGGAAAAAGGAUACGAAACCGAACGAUGCGGCGUACCUUUUCUGGCGCGGUUGUUUUGGCGAAGGCGAAGCGUCGCCCGCUUUUCCUGCCAGAAGCGCCGCCUGUCCCGCCGCGGAGUUAAUGCGAUGGGGCGAGUAGCUGGCGGGGCUGCCGUUGCGCGUGCGCGAGCCGUUCGAGGAACGGAUCACGGGCGCGUUGUCUUCACGCCGUGAGAGGGGGCUCUCUCGCUGCCCCCGGAUGGGACGUGAGCUUGGCUAACGACGUGACCGCUGCUCCCGCGUGCCUGCCACCGUCAUUACUGCCGGCUCUCCUUUGGCCGCGUUGGCCGCCGCGUCAGGCUGGCGCCGCUGGGUCGCGCGCUGGGUCGCCUCGAGUCGCGGUAUUGGUUCCGCAAUCGAGGAGGCGCGGUGGUGGCGCAGGCGAUGCAGUUGCUUGCAUGCAGCAUCUAGCGUGCCGGUUGCGCGACGCGUGGGCCUGGGCCUCCAUGCUGGCGUGUCGGGAGCCGGAGAAGUGCGUCCACUUGGCGCGGUUGCAUGCCGCCUGCAUGGCUGCCCGCCUCUUUCGCCCGUUGGUCUGGGCAAAGGUGGAGGAUCACUUGUAACCGCUGGGCGGUUGCGUGCACCACGCACGGCGGUUUGGCUUCUUCUGCUCGGAGCCGGUCUGCAUGACAUGCGGGACCCAGCCCCCGCGCCGCAGGGGAGGGCUUUGAAGCGUGUUGGAGAAGACUCAGCCCGUGACGGUUGGGAGCGCAAGCAGGGAGAGUCGCCUUUAAAAGGAGGGCGACCCCUUUCGUAAGGCGACCAUGUCUUCUCACUCCCUUAUGCGCCGCGCCUUUCCACCUUCCAAACCCCCGGAUGGGGGGAGACCGCCGUCUUUUCGCCUCAUCGUUGGAGGAACGCAACUCCGUGGGAGUUGGUACCUUUCAGCCAUCGUUCGGCUACAAGGAUUUUCAUCAUGCAGCCUGGCUGCGCCCCUCCACCGGCGGUCACCCAAGAUGGUGACCUCCGGCUUGAUGGUGGGGGAAAGCGAGCUGGGCUGCGGCCUCUGCCCCUACCUCGGCCUCAAGGAUUUUCGUCAUCCAGGCCAAGAUGGAGGAUGAGGCGAGUCGGGGGGCUGCCUCCGUGGGGGUCGGUUGCCCUCUUCUUCCCCGGGCGUCUGGGGGAGAACGGCAUCCUCCAGCUCCACGGAGACUUCCUCCAGCCAUGCCGGGAGAGGAGGGCCGUCGUCACUCAGCCAGGGCGCAGCACCAUGUCCUCCGUCCGGACGACGGUAGCCCUGGGUCUCCGUCUCCCGGCCUGAAUGGCUGGCUCUCGUCCUCGGUGGGUGAGAGUCCUUCUGUCGUAUCACCCGCCCCGAAGCCACUGCUGAAGCUGCUUCGUCGCUCGGGGAGAGGGUGGUUAUCACUGUCGCCGGAUCGGGCGGCGGUGGGCCACCCGUCGGCCCGCGAUCGCUCCGCGGGCUCCCCAAUCUUGUGGGGUUGUUCGUGCCCAGGGGGACGAAACCGGAGUUCCGUUUGAGACGGCGCUUCGAAUGCCGGUAUUUUUGUUCCUUGUGGCUUUCGGGGCCUGAACAUGUAUGUAAUUACGGCACAGAGCCGCGUUUUUUCCUCAUUUUCGAGCGCUAAGACUCGUCUGUUGAUUAUCUGAAUCGCUUCACCAAGCAUGAGUCGCCCCGUGUCAAGGUGACGAGUGAGGUAUCCGUAUCCCGGAGGCGUAGGAGUCCCUCGACUCGGUCAGCCUUGGCUGCUUACGUGUACUCCGUCGUUUCCAGGACUCACUUUUCGAAGUAGUCGAAAAGCACGAAAGAUAUUCUGGUGAAAGAGAUCUUUUUUCGAGGAAAAUUUUGACGCAGAGGGGGUCUCCCCCCUUUUAGCCCCCGAGGUAGGGUCGGGCUUUGCCGAGGCGAGGCCGACCCUUCCUUGCUGACUAAACUUUGCGUGGGUGCGAGGUUUAUGAACGACUUGAAAACAUCUUAAGGGUAAAAGCGACGUAGCUGUUGGAUGUUCCAAGCGUUGCCGUAGACCUCGCCUUGGCUGUUGGCCAGCCUGUACGUUCCGGGCUUCAGAACUUUGGCGAUAACGAAUGGCCCCUCCCAGGGGGGCGUGAGCUUGUGCCUCCCUCGGGCGUCUUGCCGCAGCCGAAGCACCAGGUCGCCCACCUGGAGGUCCCGGGGUCGGACCCCUUGGGCGUGGUAGCGUCGCAGGGAUUGCUGAUACCGCGCCGAGUGUAGUAAGGCCCUGUCCCGAGCCUCUUCCAGCUGGUCCAGCGAGUCUUCUCGGCUAGCUUGGUUGCUUUGCUCGUCGUAGGCCCUCGUCCUCGGGGAGCCGUAUUCCAGGUCAGUGGGCAAGACGGCCUCGGCCCCGUAGACCAGGAAGAACGGCGUGAAACCCAUGGCCCGGCUCGGUGUUGUCCUCAGGCUCCAGACCACCGAGGGGAGUUCCUUCAUCCAUCGCUUGCCGAACUUGUUGAGGUCGUUGUAAAUCCGAGGCUUGAGCCCUUGUAGAAUCAUGCCGUUGGCACGCUCUACCUGCCCAUUCGACAUGGGAUGAGCCACGGUGGCCCAGUCCACCCAGAUGUGGUGAUCCUCGCAAAAAUCCAAGAAUUUUUUGCCGGUGAACUGGGUGCCGUUGUCGGUGAUGAUGGAGUUCGGGACCCCGAAGCGAUGGAUGAUGUUGGUGAAGAACGCCACUGCCUGCUCGGACCUGAUGCUGUUCAGGGGUCGGACCUCGAUCCACUUGGAGAAUUUGUCGACGGCGACCAGCAGGUGCGUGUAGCCCCCGGGCGCCUUCUGCAAGGGACCGACGAGGUCCAGUCCCCACACAGCAAAGGGCCAGGUGAUGGGUAUCGUCUGCAGAGCCUGAGCGGGCAGGUGGGUCUGCUUCACAUAGAAUUGACACCCUUCGCAGGUGCGGACAAUUCUAGUGGCGUCGGCCACCGCCGUUGGCCAGUAGAAGCCUUGCCGGAAAGCGUUCCCGACGAGGGCUCGAGGCGCUGCAUGAUGGCCGCAAGCCCCCGAGUGUAUCUCUUGCAGGAGUUCCUGACCUUCGGCGAUGGAGAUGCAUCGCUGGAGGAUGCCCGAGGGGCUGCGGUGGUAGAGCUCCUUCUCAUCGCCCAGCAAGACGAACGAUUUGGCGCGUCGCGCUACCCGCCGAGCCUCGGCUCGGUCGAGGGGUAGCUCUCCUUGGCGGAGAUAUUGCAGGUACGGGGUUUGCCAGUCUCGGUCAGGCGUGGCCCCGCUCCGCUCCUCCUCGAUGCGCAGCGCCUCGCCCUCGGGGGCCGAGGGUACCUCGGGCUGAAUCGAGGACGCCUCGGGCUCGGGCGUGUCGUUGAUCUUGACGGAGGGUUGGUGCAGAUCCCGGGAGAAGACGUCCGGGGGAACCGUCGUCCGCCCCGAGGCUAUUUUUGCCAGCUCGUCCGCAGUCUCGUUGUAGCGCCGAGCGAUGUGGUUAAGCUCGAGCCCGUAGAACUUGUCUUCCAGGCGCCAAACCUCAUCGCAGUAGGCCUCCAUCUUCGGGUCGCGGCAGUUUGAGUUCUUCAUGACUUGGUCGAUAACGAGCUGCGAGUCGCCGCGAGCGUCGAGGCGUCGGACCCCUAGCUCGAUGGCGAUUCGCAAUCCGUUGAUCAGAGCUUCGUACUCGGCCACAUUGUUGGACGCCGGGAAAUGGAGGCGUAGCACGUAGCGUAGGUGUUUCCCGAGGGGCGAGAUGAAGAGCAGGCCCGCACCGGCUCCCGUCUUCAUUAGCGACCCGUCGAAAAACAUGGUCCAGAGCUCCGGUUGGAUCGGAGCCGUCGGUAGCUGGGUGUCGACCCAUUCGGCUACGAAGUCCGCCAAGACCUGGGACUUGAUGGCCUUCCGAGGCGCGAACGAGAUGGUCUCGCCCAUGAUUUCCACCGCCCACUUCGCAAUCCUGCCCGAGGCCUCUCGGCACUGGAUGAUCUCCCCCAGGGGGAAGGAUGACACCACAGUUAUCGGGUGAGACUCGAAGUAGUGUCGCAACUUCCGCCUCGUCAGGACCACUGCAUACAGUAGCUUCUGAACUUGUGGGUAGCGGAUCUUGGUUUCGGACAGUACCUCGCUGACGAAGUAAACCGGCCUCUGAACGGGCAAUGCAUGCCCCUCUUCUUGCCUCUCGACCACAAUCGCGGCGCUAACCACCUGAGUGGUCGCGGCGACGUAGACCAAGAGGGCUUCUCCAUCAGCUGGGGGUACCAAGAUAGGCGCCUUUGUAAGAAGCGCCUUCAGGUUCCCGAGAGCUUCCUCGGCCUCAGGUUUCCAAGUGAAGCACUCGGCCUUCCUUAAGAGGCGGUACAGAGGCAGGCCUCUUUCGCCGAGGCGUGAGAUGAACCGGCUCAGGGCCGCGAGACAUCCCAUGACCCUCUGUACGCCUUUUAAGUCCUUGAUGGGCCCCAUGUUGGUGAUGGCUGCGAUCUUCUCCGGGUUGGCUUCGAUGACUCGCUCGGAGACGAUGAACCCCAAGAGCAUGCCCCGGGGCACCCCGAAGACACACUUCUCAGGAUUGAGCUUGACGCCCUUUGCCUUGAGACACCGGAAUGUCACUUCAAGGUCGGAAAGGAGGUUGGAAGCCUUCCUCGUCUUGACUACGAUGUCAUCGACGUAGGCCUCGACUGUGCGACCGAUGUGUUUGCCGAACACAUGGUUCAUGCUGGUACGUCGCGCCCGCAUUCCUCAAACCGAACGGCAUGGUGACAUAGCAGUACAUGCCGAAGGGCGUGAUGAAAGAAGUCGCGAGCUGGUCGGACUCUUUCAUCCGGAUUUGGUGAUAUCCGGAGUAGGCAUCGAGGAAGGACAGGGUUUCGCACCCAGCAGUGGAAUCCACGAUUUGAUCGAUGCGAGGUAGAGGGUAGGGAACCUUCGGACAUGCUUUGUUGAGACCAGUGUAGUCUACACACAUCCGCCAUUUCCCCCCUUUCUUUCUCACAAGCACAGGGUUGGCAAGCCAUUCGGGAUGGAAUACCUCUUUGAUGAACCCUGCUGCCAUUAGCUUGUGGAUCUCUCCGCCUAUCACUCUGCGCUUCUCCUCGUCGAAUCGGCGCAGAGGCUGCCUGACGGGUCGGGCCCCGGCCCGAAUAUCCAGCGAGUGCUCGGCGACUUCCCUCGGUAUGCCGGGCAUGUCCGAGGGACUCCACGCAAAAACGUCGGCGUUUGCGCGGAGAAAGUCGACGAGCACUGCUUCCUAUUUGGGGUCGAGCCCGGAACCGAUCCGGAUCUGCUUGGAGGUGUCGCCACUAUGGUCGAGAGGGACGGCCUUAACCGUCUCCGCUGGCUCGAAGUUGCCGGCAUGUCGCUUCACGUCUGGCACCUCUUUGGAGAGGUUCUCCAGGUCGGCGAUGAGGGCCUCGGACUCGGCGAGGGCCUCGGCGUACUCCAUGCACUCCACGUCGCAUUCGAACGCGUGUUUGUACGUGGGGCCGACGGUGAUGACCCCGUUGGGGCCCGGCAUUUUGAGCUUCAGGUAGGUGUAGUUGGGGACGGCCAUGAACUUCGCGUAGCAUGGCCUCCCCAAUAUCGCGUGGUAGGUUCCUCGGAACCCGACCACCUCGAACGUCAGAGUCUCUCUUCAGAAAUUGGAGGGCAUUCCGAAGCAGACGGGAAGGUCGAGCCGUCCGAGGGGCUGGACGCGCUUCCCAGGAAUGAUCCCGUGGAAAGGCGCAGCGCCUGCUCGGACGGAGGACAGAUCGACGCGCGGGAGCCUGAGGGUCUCGGCGUAGAUGAUGUUGAGGCAGCUGCCCCCAUCCAUCAGGACCUUGGUGAGCCUGACGUCGCCGAUGAUGGGGUCGACGACGAGCGGGUAUUUCCCCGGGCUCGGCACGUGGUCGGGGUGGUCAGCUUGGUCGAAGGUGAUGGGCUCGUCGGACCAGUCUAGGUAGACUGGCGCCGCCACCUUCACCGAGCAGACCUCCCGGCGCUCUUGCUUGCGAUGCCGAGCCGAGGCAUUCGCCGCAUGCCCUCCAUAGAUCAUGAAGCAGUCGUGGACCUCGGGGAACUCUCAUGCUUGGUGAUCUUCCUUUUUGUCGUCGUCGUGGGCCCUGCCACCCUCUGCGGGUGGCCCGGCCUUGUGGAAGUGGCGCCGAAGCAUGACGCAUUCCUCAAGGGUGUGCUUGACGGGCCCCUGAUGAUAGGGGCACGGCUCCUUGAGCAUCUUGUCGAAGAGGUUGGCACCUCCGGGGGGCUUCCGAGGGUUCUUGUGCUCGGCGGCGGCGACAAGGUCCUCGUCGGCGGUGUCGCGUUUCGCUUGCGACUUCUUCUUGCCUUUCUUCUUGGCGUCGUGCGGAGUAGAUGCCUCGGGAACCUCUUCCGACGGGCGGCCCUGGGGCUGCUUGUCCUUUCGGAAGAUGGCCUCGACCGCCUCCUGGCCAGAGGCGAACUUGGUGGCGAUGUCCAUCAGCUCGCUCGCCCUGGUGGGAGUCUUGCGACCCAACUUGCUCACCAGGUCGCGGCAGGUGGUGCCGGCAAGGAACGCGCCGAUGACAUCUGAGUCGGUGAUGUUGGGCAGCUCGGUGCGCUGCUUCGAGAAUCGCCGGAUGUAGUCCCGAAGAGACUCUCCCGGCUGUUGCCGGCAGCUUCGGAGGUCCCAGGAAUUCCCGGGGCGCACGUACGUGCCCUGGAAAUUGCCGGCAAAGGCUUGGACCAAAUCAUCCCAGUUGGAGAUCUGCCCCGGAGGCAGGUGCUCCAACCAGGCGCGAGCGGUGUCGGAGAGGAACAGAGGGAGGUUGCGGAUGAUGAGGUUGUCGUCGUCCGUUCCACCCAGUUGGCAGGCCAGGCGGUAAUCCGCAAGCCACAGUUCUGGCCUCGUUUCCCCUGAGUACUUUGUGAUAGUAGCCGGGGGUUGGAAACGGGUCGGGAACGGUGCCCGCCGGAUGGCCCGGCUGAAGGCCUGCGGACCGGGUGGCUCGGGCGAGGGACUCCGAUCCUCCCCGCUGUCGUAGCGUCCCCCGCGCCUGGGGUGGUAGCCUCGGCGCACCCUUUCGUCGAGGUGGGCUCGACGGUCGCGACGAUGGUGCUCGUUGCCGAGGCAGCCCGGGGCCGCAGGCGCGGUGUUGCGCGUGCGCCCGGUGUAGACCGAGGCUUCCCGUAUGAAUCGGGAAGUCGCAGCAUGAGGCUCCGAGGGGUAUCCCUGCCUUCGGGAGGCAGAGCUCUCGGCCCGUCGGGCCGCAGCGCCUUCCAGGAGAUUCUUGAGCUCUCCCUGGAUUCGCCGACCCUCGGUGGUUGAUGGCUCCGGCAUCGCGCGGAUGAGCAUUGUUGCGGCUGCCAGGUUCUGACCGACCCCGCUAGACGCGGGAGGCGGCCUGACCCUGACGUCGUUGGCGACGCGGUGCUGGAAACCCUGGGGCAGGUGACGUAUUUCUCCGGCUGGGGGCUGGCCCGCCCAUACCUGCCCGACGUCCCGGCGGAUCGACUCAAGCGCUCCUGCUCCCUCGUCGAGCCUGGCCUGCGCCCCGCGGACUUGCUCGAGCUGUGGGUCGUGACCCCCCGCCGGAACGGGGACCACAGCUAGCUCCCGCGGGAUGUCGGCGCGAGGCGCCGGCCUAGGGAGAUCACCGUCCUCCGGCAUGCCGAGGUGGUUGCCUUCGGAGGGAUCCCCUAGCUCGACGUGGAAACAUUCGCGGCUUGGGCCGCAGUCCUUGUCGUCAAGGCUGCGGCUACCGUCGGAACAGUCGGAGAGGCAGUAGUCACAUGCGGUCAUAAAGUCCCGCAUGGCACUAGGGUUGCCAAAUCCAGAGAAAUCCCAACAGAUGCUGGGAUCGUCAUCUUCCUCGGACCCAGAGGGCCCGUAGGUCGAGACGUCCGUCAAUCGGUCCCAAGGCGACCGCAUACGAAACCCUAGAGGGGUUGCACUCGCCUCAACGAGAGCGCCCGCCAAAGCGAGGUCGCUAGGCGGGUUGAGGCCGAGUCGAAAUAAUGUAGGAUGGGAAUCGGUCGGUACCUUUUGGUCGAUGAGGAGCGACAUAGUCACGUCGGGGACUGAUUGCGCCGUCGUCUUGGGUACGAGGGCGACGUCCUGCAGGCCCUCCGCGAGCUCGCUGGCGUCGUCCACUUGCUCGAGAUCGGCAUGUCGCGGGGGGACGGCGCCCGCCUUCGUCUCGAACGCGAGGUCGAUGCCCGACGUGCCCCCCGUUAGGGCGCUGGGGACGUCAAUUCGCUCGACAGCCGAUGAAGCGCGGCCUCCCGCUCGGCCUUGGUUGCCCCGCCUCCUCCUCCGUUGGCGGGGGAGAGGACGGGGAGAGCUCGAAUGUCGUUCUUCCAUCACGCGGGGAAGAUGUCGUCGAUUCCGCCGCCGGCGGGCGGGUUGUCGGCCGCCGUUGUUGUUGUCGCGCGGCGGUGGAAGGAGUAUCAUGUCGUAGCUGCCGUCGAGGGACAUAAACUCAAGACUCCCGAAACGGAGCACCGUCCCGGGUUGGAGAGGUUGUUGGAGACUGCCCAUCUGGAGCUUGACGGGAAACUGCUCGUCAACACGCAGCAGGCCCCUACCUGGUGCGCCAACUGUCGGCGGUUCGAGACCGGGGGGUCCCUAAGCCGACGAGUGAGUGUGCCGCGUGCCCCAGCCUAGAUGGGUCGAGCGCGUGGGCGAGCGCGAAGGGGGGAAAGCGAGGUGGCCGGAGACGGACGUGAGAGAGGUGGAAAUCCCGCUGCCUUCGUGUUCGUCCCGCGCCCAGGUCGGGUGCGCUUGCAGUAGGGGGUUACAAGCGUCCACGCGGGUGAGGGAAGCGAGUGGCCCCAAGAGAGCGCCUGUCCCCGUCCUCGUCCCCGCGCGGCCAACCUUCUCUAAGAAGGCCCUGGUCCUUCCUUUUAUAGGCGUAAGGAGAGGAUCCAGGUGUACAAUGGGGGUGUAGCAGAGUGCUACGUGUCUAGCGGGGGGAGAGCUAGUGCCCUAAGUACAUGCCAAUGUGGCAGCCGGAGAGAUCUUGGCACCCUGCUGGCGUGAUGUCGUGGCUGUCGGAGGUGCAACGGAGCCUGGCGGAGGGACAGCUGUUGGAACGGUUGUGUCCUUGCUGACGUCGCCCUGCUUCCAUAAGAGAGCUGAGAGCCGCCGUCGUCACGGGGCUAGCGGGGCGCCAUCAUUGCCUAUCUGGCGGAGCUAGCCAGAUGGGACACCGGUCUUGUUCUCUGCGGCCCGAGUCGGCUCGGGGUAGGGUGAUGAUGGCGCUUCCUGUCGGCGUGGCUAGCCUGUGCCCUAGGUUGGGCGACGUGGAGGCUCCUCCGAAGCCGGGGUCGAGUCUGUCUUCCAUGGCCGAGGCCGAGUCCGAGCCCCUGGGUCGGGCGAGGCGGAAGUCGUCGGCAGAGGCCAGGGCGGAGUCCGAGCCCUGGGGUCGGGUGAAGCGGAGUUCAUCGUCUUCUGGGGCUGAGCCCGAGUCCGAGCCCUGGGUCGGGCGAAGCGGAGUUCGUCGUCUUCCGGGGCCUUAGCCCGAGUCCGAGCCCUGGGUCGGGCGGAGCGGAGUUCGCCGUCUUCCGGGGCUUAGCCCGAGUCCGAGCCCUGGGUCGGGCGGAGCGGAAUUCGCCGUCUUCCGGGGCUUAGCCCGAGUCUGAGCCCUGGGUCGGGCGGAGCGGAGUUCGCCGUCUUCUGGGGCUUAGCCCGAGUCCGAGCCCUGGGUCGGGCGGAGCGGAGUUCGCCGUCUUCCGGGGCUUAGCCCGAGUCCGAGCCCUGGGUCGGGCGGAGCUUCCUAUGGCGCCUUUGGCAGGGCCUGGCUUCCUUUGCGUUAAAUGCUCCUGCGGCUUGGCCGGUCGGUGCGGCGAUUUAGUCAGGGUUGCUUCUUAGCGAAGGCAAGGCCUCGGGCGAGCCGGAGACGUGUUCGCCGUUGAAGGGGGGCCUCGGGCGAGACGGAAACCCCUCGGGGUCGGCUGCCGUUGCCCGAGGCUAGGCUCGGGCGAGGCGUGAUCGAGUCGCUCGUACGGACUGAUCCCUGACUUAAUCGCACCCAUCAGGCCUCUGCAGCUUUAUGCUGAUGGGGGUUACCAGCUGAGAAUUAGGCGUCUUGAGGGUACCCUUAAUUAUGGUCCCCGACACCAUCAUUAACCAUCAUCAUUAAAAUCAUCAUCUGAGGUGUAUCCGGAGUAUCUCUAAUCAAAGAGGAUCCCAAGGCUGCUCUUAACCGUGAGCACGGCUGAUAUAUCAGUUUCAUUACCCUCUGCAGAGGUCGCACACUUUACCCAUGAGCCAUGAUUCCCGUUUUGCCCGGGGAUCAUGACUCCCCAUUGAUCACUUCCUAGGUGGUCCGACAGGGUAUCACUACGUAGCUUUUAUAAAGAUUCCCUAGAGGUCAUAACCGCCUGUUAGGUUUCUCUAGUUUGAUAAACACAGUACCUCUCCCCGUAGGAGGGUGACUAACAAAAGCAAAACGAAAGAACCUCGGCACUCAGCCUCGGCAGAGCAAGCACUGUGCCUGGACCCCAUUGACGACACAACGGCGAAGCAACUACACCUCUAGUUCCUCUAAUUAAUUAGCUAAGGGCAUCCUAUUUCACCCUCAUGGUUGCGCUGUUAUCCCGGGUGGUCUCUCAACGAACAGGUCCUUACGGAGAGGUACUCGGGAAACAGCCCGAGUCCCCUAAAAUAUCACAAGAUCAUCGGGACAACAUCAUCGUAUCAUAAAUAUUCACAUCAUGUUCGUUGAUUAAGUUAAAGCAAUAGCAUAAAGCUAACCAUAGUAACCCAAUAGGUAAUCAAGUGUAAGGUAAAUACAAAGCUAGUCAAUCCUUAGGUUUCAAUUAAGUAAUGCGGGACAGUGUAUUAUAAGUGAAAGGGACAUAAUGGGUCAAAGGACACUUGCCUUCACCAAACAGAUGCUCAGGAUCUUCUGCCUCAUAGAACUCGAAGAGCUAUAUCACUUGGUCGCCAACGCUUGAUCUUCGAUCCCUCGAAGCUCGAAAACGGAACACAAUCUAUUCGCGACGCAUAGCGAAUACAAACAGGCACAAACAUACAUAUAUAUGCAUAAGAACAUUACAUCAUUCAAAUAAAAACAUAAUAAAACAUGCAAAACAAAAUAGAGCGUGUUACUACGGUCACGCGAGGAAAAAGAAAUGAGACGGUCGAAGCCACGGUCAAGAAGUUAUAACGUUUACAUUAUGCUAGUAAUAGUCAGGACAUUUAAUUCGACAUUAUCAAAUAUAAAUUAUAACUGCUAUUUAGUUUUGAUUAAAUCUGAUACACUAACACUUAUCAAAUAAGUAAGUAAUAUAGUUAGCGCGAGAGAUUCUAAGCGAGCGAGUUUACGACGCGUGAAACAACACGACAGCGUGCGGAAUGACGAGCGGACACGCGCGACAUAGCACGCUGAUGACACACGAAACAGUGCGCGCGACCAGCGCGAACGACGCGCGAAUCAGCACGCGACCACGAGUACAUCACGCACGAACAACGCACAGACAGCAUGUGAACGUUGCGCGAAACAGCACGCGACCAGGACAAGGAAAACAAAAUAGGUGACGCGUUUAUACUAAACCAAUAUUAAAUAAAUAAGGAGUAGUUUAGUUAAUAUCAGUCAUGUUAAUGUUUAUUAUAGAAACACAAGUUGAACACUACACAUUUAAUCUAACUAGAAUAUUAAUCUAAUAAAUAUUAGUCGGGUAAAGCUUAAGUUAAUUAUUUAAAAUAUGUGACCUGACAAUCUAACAUUAUUAACUGGAGUUAUAGACGGAACUAAUUUAUUAUCACACACCGACGUCGCGCGACACACGAACCGGACGAGUGGCACGAACGCGCGAAGGAAAUGUCGACACACGCAAACAGCGUGUGAAUGGCACGCGAACAUGCACGCGAUAUUGUGCAGGCAGCGCGAUAGCGCGCAACGAUGCGUGACGACGUGCCGACACACGCGACGUACGCACAUGACAUGCGACAACGCGUGCGAACGGCACGCGACACGCGAGAAUAACGCAUGGACUAUACGCACGAACAACACGACGACAGCGAGCGUCACACGUGUGAACAACACGUAGAUAGUGCGACGACGCGCACGACUCACAAGAGUCGCUAACAGACAUCGUGUUUAUACUAAACACUAAAUACGUAUUAAGUACCACGUCUAAAUUGUUAAAAUCACAUUACCACCUAUUUACAGUCGCCUGACUAAAAUCAUAAUUUUAAUCCGAUUGAGUAUUCAGUUUACUGACCGAUAAUUAAAUAGGAAAUUAAUUAGCGCAGGGGGAUAGACGAGCUAGACGGGAGUCGUCUAGGGGUAGACGGAUGUCGUCGGGACCCGACGACACGCUGCGUGUACGCGAAACAAUGCGCACAACAGCGUGCGACACGCGCGAGUCAACACGACUACGCGCGCGAAUAGCAUGCUGACGCACAAAUGAGGACUACUACAUAGAUGUCGCCUCUAUACUAAACAAGUAUUAACUUUAAAACAUUUGAUUUGGCCUGAUUAUAUUAAUCGAUAUUUAUUAAAUGAAACUAGAGCUAUCGCCCAAUUUUAAUUAGCUGACCACACUAACAAUUCUUAGUUAAAUAAGUAAUUUAAAUAACAUCAGCGACUCUAAGCGGGACGAAUUAGCGGAGCGAGACGAAAUACGUAAUGCGCAAAACAGCACGGCAGCACGCGCACAAUACGCGUACAGCACGCGUACGGCGCGUGACCGACACAACACGCGGGGACUAAUAAAUAGAUAUUGUGUUUAUACUGCACAAUUAUUAAUGAAAGAGUAUUUAAGUUAAUAUUAAUCAUGUUGAUAUUUAUUUAUAAAAACCCAAGUUGAAAACUAUAAAUUAGAUUUAAUUGGAAUGCUAAUUUAAUAAACGUUAGCUUAAACAAAUAUUUAAUAAUUUAUUUAAAACAUAAGACAUAAUGAAACAAUAUUAUUAACACAUGGGCAGGGAUAUAAUGAAGCUAACGUAACUCGAAUGAACUAAAUCGGACAUCUAACACGAAAGAUAUGAAGGUUUAAUAAAUCCGGCCAUGAUUAAAAAAAGAAACGAUUUCUUUCCUUCAUGCAAGUUGCAACCUCACGAGGUUUCUUCUCUGUUUCUGACGCAAGAGCAAUUACCUUUCUCUCUCUCCUAUGCUCGACACGAAUUGGCCAUCGCAAGGGAGGAUGGGAUCACGUGGGGGAGGAGAGCGCUGGGCUUCAGCGCAGGUGCCAGGGAACCACGGCCAAGGCUGGGCAACGGUGGGACUCGUCGGAUGGAGGCCGCACCGGCAGGGGACCUCGCCGAGGCCGUGUGCCGUGCCCGUGCCUAAGCCGCCGUGAAGUGCUGGCCGCGCGCAGGGGCAAGCGCCGCUGGAACUGGAGAGGGCACUAGCCGUCCAUGAGUAAGGUUCGGCGCUGGGGAUCUCGGCCGACUGGGUGAAGGCUACCAGCAGCCGACUAGACGACGGUGGCUCCUGCUCGCCAGGCGAGAGCACGCGGGGCGUGCUGGGCUGGGCGAGCCUGGGCGAGGCUGGGCUGCGCGCGGCCUGCUGCACCUGGGCAAGGGGGCAGGGGGUGGGCGAGCUGGAGCCACGCCCAGGGCAGACGACGCCGCUGGGGCCACGCUUGACUGCGUUUUGGGCGCAGGGGAGGGCAACCAUGGCCAUGAGGGAUGGGGAGGCACACGCGAGGGGCUUCACCGGGAGGAGAGGAAUUGCUCGGCAGGGGGCGGAGAUGGCUGCUCGCUGGGGAAGAAGUCCAACGCUCGGCGAUGGUUGGCUCACGGAAGGGGUGGACGAGCGGUCGCGCCGUUGGAGGAGAUAGCCAGGGGGGUGCGCCUGGGCUAGGGGAUUUCAUCGAGGCGUGGGGGUGAGCAGGGGGCUCGCCGGGAGGAGAGAACGCGUGGGGAGGGAGGGAGGAGAGGAAGAGGACUCACCUGAAAACCGCCAUGUGCAGGGACGUCAGCAUCUGCGCGAUUUGGAUCUGGGGCGAUUUGGAUCUGGGGAGGGAGACGAGAGGUUAUGUGACGACAGUGGUUAUAUAAAAGAGAACGCGGGAGUAGAUUGCCAAAUUCGUCAUCAAUUGCGUCGCGACCGAGAGAGAGGCGGUUGCGAGCACGACAAAUUGCGCGAGACGGUGUAAGACGGAGACUGAGUCGGAUGAGUGGUAGACAGGAUUGGAUAAAAUUAGAGGAAAACGACUAAAGCUGACCCGCGGGUCCAAGGCGAUGAGAUAGACGUCGGAGGGGUAGACAGGGAUAGAUGGGGAUAGCCAACGGAGCAGCAUGCCGUUUGCGAGGAAAGAUAUUUUAAUGAUCCCGCGAAAAGGACACGAGAUCUAGAACAGGCUCGACGAGAGGAACAUAUAUAUAUUAUCGAGUUUCCAAGAUUUUGUUGUUUUCACAAAUACUAAAUUUUAGGUAUUAAAUUAAUAUUAACAAAACUAAAAAUUCAUAUUUUAAUACUCGAAGAAACGUUUCAAAGGUUCCCGAAAGUCUCCGGAAACAAGAUCAAGAUAAUUCGAUGUAGUUUGAAAAAAAACUUUUUACACUCAUAAGCACUAUGCAACGACUUGAAUGCAACAAUCAAAGCUUCUCCAGGAUUUUAUUUUACUACGCCAAAAACUCAUAUAUAUAUAUAUAAUAAAAUAACUCUCCAUUAUUUAGAAAAAGAGAAGAAGAGCAGGUAAAGAAGAGGGUAACACCUGAAUUUGGUGGUUACUGGAAAAGAAAUUUUAUACCCCCAAAUUCAGGGUGUUACAAAUCUAACCCCCUUAACAGGAAUCUCGCCCCCAAGAUUCAAGAAGAAGGUAGCAAGAAAACGAGGUUGUUUCAUAGGUUGUUCACGACUUUCUUUAGUUGACUUGGACUCUGGCAACCUUAACUUGCGGGCUGGUUGCUUUGACUUUCAGAUGCUUGAGACCGAUGGAUGCAAUUCUUGUGGAACUUCUGGACCUGUGGGUUAGGACCCACACACGCUUUCGCUGCGCCACUCCGAUCUUGUUGGUUGAUGUUGAUCGCAUUGUCUUCAUUGGGGUUAGCGGCUAACCCCCUUAACAGGAGUGUUGAUAUGCAUUUGGUGAGGAUGUUGUCGACUCUGAUCUUGACUAAUUUGGAGGAGUUGGAGGUUGCCAACCAGACAGGUGCAAGAGGAAAGGGUAUAGGUAGAAAAGGUAAGCAUAGACGAAUUAAAGAGAGAGAAAAUGGAGAGCACCCAACUACCUAACUCUAUGGCAAUCAGCUAGUAAAUUGAUGCCAUUGCGGACCAAGGGCCAUAACACAUCAACACUCAUCACAAAGAAGCAAAUCAGUCAUCACACAAAGACAAAUAGCACAAGCAUACAACAACAAACAUCUCGUUGCUAUACGUUAAUGUUAACUAAAUGGUGGUCUUUCUUAAAAAAAAUUAACUACUCCCUAAGGUUGUUGAAGGAGGAGGAGAAGAACAGGACGUGUAGGAUAGGGACACGAGCACAAUAAGGGAUGGAGUCAAAGCAAGCAUUGUGAGCGACCAGGUAAAGGAUAUGACCAAGGGUAUAAUGGGCAGAACACUACUCUCAAGUUGAGAUAGACAAGGGGAGAUUCCCAAAAAGCAGAUCUAAGAUAAGCAUCCAAACAGGAUCUAGUGAUUACGAAGGUAAGGGUGAUAUCAAACAGAAGCUAAGACUCGCAAUGCGAAAGAGGAAAAAGAAACGACCAAGAGCGGGAUGGGUAAGACAACACUCUUGAAUUGAAAUGGAAGCAGAGGCAUUAAAAUGCAAGUACAGGAUAUGCAUCAAGGUAAAGAUCGAGGGAUGAGAAGGGUUAAGGUGAUAACAGACAAACACAUAGUAAGGGGUGUAUUUAAACAAAACUUGCAAGGUGCCAAAGAAGGGAGAACAGUCAAUGAUGAAAUAGGUGAGGCAUUAUUCUCGAAUAGGGAUGAAAUAUAGGAGGCUUUGAAGGGUAGGUUCAAGGUAAGCAGGAAGGCAAGGGAAUAGAUGUCAUGAGGGUCUAAAGGUGAUAACGUACAAGAAUGUAGGAGAGGAGGUAAAUGGGUAUAAGAACCAAGGAUAUAAAUACUACAGAGGGUGGAAUUAAGACAGGAUGUGCAAGUGAAAAAAAAGAGGGUACGUCCAAGGGCCAGAUAGGUAAACUGCCACUCUCAAUUUGAGGUGAAAGAGGGGAGAAUUUUUUUUCUUGUGUAUGAAUAAAGAUGAGUAUCAAGGCAAGAUCGAUGGAUGACAAGGUGAUGGUGAUAGCAAAAAAACACAUCAAAGGAUGGAAUUAAGACAACACUUGUAAGGCGUCAAGGAGCGAAAAGAAAUCAAGGGAGAGAUAGGUAACUCAUAGCUCUCAAACUUGGUCGAAAGAAAUGGAAGGCUUUUAAAGAAUAAGUUCAAGGUAAGCAUUUAGGUAAAGUUACAUAUAUUACAAGGGUUAAAGGCGAUAACAGACAAGGGUGUAAGGGAAGAGGUGAAAGUGCAAGGAACCAAGGGUACAAGUAUAGUAAAGAAUGAAGCCAAGGCCAGGCUGGCGCGUGGCAAAUAUGAGGUUAUGACCAAAAGGAGGGAUAAGUAGAAUACCACUCCUGAAAUGAGAUGGGAGGUUGAAGAUUUUAGAUAACAGACAUAAUGCAAUCACAAGGUAGGAUAGAGUGUGAGAAGGGUAAAGGAGACGACAAACAAAACACAACAAAGGAUGGAGUGGAAAGCUCGCAAGCGACAAGGAAGAGGAUACGACCAAGAGGAAAUAGGUAAAAUACAACUCUAACAUUGAGAUGGAAGAGAGAAGGUUUUAGAGGACAGGUAUGAUAUAAGCUUUAGGGUAAGAUAUAGAUGUAACAAGGGUAAGGAUGGAAAUCGUGAAAAGCACCACCAAGGAUAGAGUUAAGGCAAGACUCACGAAGUGGCGAAGUGGAUAAGACAAUCAAGGGUGACAGUUAAGGUUCCAACAGAAUGGUUGAAAUAAUAGAAAUUAUUACCGAGGGAAGUUAUAAGGAAACGAUGAGAUCAUCAAGGAUGUGCGAAAUAGAAUGAUCGCUCAUGGAUCAUCAAGAAACAAGGGUGGUCAAGGGCAUGUAAGUCGAAAUGUUUUAAAUAGACAUUGGGAUAUAAAGGUAAGGACAUAUAUAAAAAGACAAAAUUAUGCAAGGUUCCGAGGAUACAAGCGUACCAAAACCAAGAAAGUACAAAUUGCCGAAAGAUGGCAACAUAACAACAGAAUAGGAAAAGGGUCUCAAAAGACAACAAGAUCAUGGCCAUAUAAACUGAAAUGUUUAAGUAGACAGUAGAAAUUUAGAGGCAAGUAUUUGAAACAAGAGUAUUGAAGGCAUACGAGCAUGUCAAUACCAAAGGACUAGAGUUCGCUAGAUGGUAGCAAUUUAAUGACGAAAGAGGAAAGAAUCCCAAAAGACAAGAAGAUUAUGGUCAAGGGGCAUCUACAAAGAUGUCGCAAGCACAAGGGUGAGAUCAGAUCUAAUAGAUUGAGAAAAGUAUAGACCAUACUAGAAUAAAAUACUUUUGGCAAGGGGGCAUAUAGAAGCACAACAUAGAAUUAGUCGAGGUGACUAAUAUUUUGAAACAACAUCAAGGAUGAGGUGAAGUAAAAAUCAGUAAGUCCUUAAAACGGCCAAUGCUACUCUAGGUUAACGGUCCUACAAUCAGCACGGCUUUGAUACCACUUAUGUCACACCCGGUUUUGGAAGGCAAACCGAAUGCGAACUAUGUACGUGCCAGGAUCAGAAUUCACGUACACAGCGAUUACAUAAAUGAACACCAUCGCAUAGUGCUCGAAUAAUAACAUAAAAGAGUAUUAACUUAUUACAUCACAAUGUCAGAGACAUCCACAUAGUCAUCAACUCAACGGGUAAAUCAAAGUGCUAAGCGAAACGCAGUAAAGAUAGGGCCUUCACAGGCAGCUGACUGGGGGUUUGCCGUUAACCCACACCUAGAACUCGUCAUAGUCUUGGAACUCCUGGAAGUCUCCUUCCACGCCUUCGUCUUCUCCUGAGCAGUGGUUGCAAUGUGGACAACCUGGUGUUUUGUGGUAAAGCAAGGAUGAGUACACAUCAACGUACUCAGCAAAUGCCCCGUUUGGCUGAAGUGGACUAGCUCUUUAUGUGGAGUUAGGCUCAAGCAGUUGCUUUUAGUUGGUCAGGUAUUUAUUGUUAGUAGAAGCCAGAUUUUAUCAUAAAACCCAAGUUAUAAUCCCAAAAAGUACCUCCUCAGAGAGGAAAUACUAGAAUACUUAAUUAAAGUCACCAUCAUUAACCAUCAUCAUUAAAAUCAUCAUCUGAGGUGUAUCCGGAGUAUCUCUAAUCAAAGAGGAUCCCAAGGCUGCUCUUAACCGUGAGCACGACUGAUAUAUCAGUUUCAUUACCCUCUGCAGAGGUCGCACACUUUACCCAUGAGCCAUGAUUCCCGUUUUGCCCGGGGAUCAUGACUCCCCAUUGAUCACUUCCUAGGUGGUCCGGCAGGGUAUCACUACGUAGCUUUUACAAAGAUUCCCUAGAGGUCAUAGCCGCCUGUUAGGUUUCUCCAGUUUGAUAAACACAGUACCUCUCCCCGCAGGAGGGUGACUAACAAAAGCAAAACGAAAGAACCUCAGCACUCAGCCUCGGCAGAGCAAGCACUGUGCCUGGACCCCAUUGACGGCACAACGGCGAAGCAACUACACCUCUAGUUCCUCUAAUUAAUUAGCUAAGGGCAUCCCAUUUCACCCUCAUGGUUGCACUGUUAUCCCGGGUGGUCUCUCAACGAACAGGUCCUUACGGAGAGGUACUCAGGAAACAACCCGAGUCCCCUAAAAUAUCACAAGAUCAUCGGGACAACAUCAUCGUAUCAUAAAUAUUCACAUCAUGUUCGUUGAUUAAGUUAAAGCAAUAGCAUAAAGCUAACCAUAGUAACCCAAUAGGUAAUCAAGUGUAAGGUAAAUACAAAGCUAGUCAAUCCUUAGGUUUCAAUUAAGUAAUGCGGGACAGUGUAUUAUAAGUGAAAGGGACAUAAUGGGUCAGAGGACACUUGCCUUCACCAAACAGAUGCUCAGGAUCUUCUGCCUCAUAGAACUCGAAGAGCUAUAUCACUUGGUCGCCAACGCUUGAUCUUCGAUCCCUCGAAGCUCGAAAACGGAACGCAAUCUAUUCGCGACGCAUAGCGAAUACAAACAGGCACAAAUAAACAUAUAUAUGCAUAAGAACAUUACAUCAUUCAAAUAAAAACAUAAUAAAACAUGCAAAACAAAAUAGAGCGUGUUACUACGGUCACGCGAGGAAAAAGAAAUGAGACGGUCGAAGCCACAGUCAAGAAGUUAUAACGUUUACAUUAUGCUAGUAAUAGUCAGGACAUUUAAUUUGACAUUAUCAAAUAUAAAUUAUAACUGCUAUUUAGUUUUGACUAAAUUUGAUACACUAACACUUAUCAAAUAAGUAAGUAAUAUAGUUAGCGCGAGAGAUUCUAAGCGAGGCGAGUUUACGACGCGUGAAACAACACGACAGCGUGAGGAAUGACGAGCGGACACGCGCGACAUAGCACACUGAUGACACACGAAACAGUGCGCGCGACCAACGCGAACGACGCGCGAAUCAGCACGCGACCACGAGUACAUCACGCACGAACAACGCACAGACAGCACGUGAACGAUGCGCGAAACAGCACGCGACCAGGACAAGGAAAACAAAAUAGGUGACGCGUUUAUACUAAACCAAUAUUAAAUAAAUAAGGAGUAGUUUAGUUAAUAUCAGUCAUGUUAAUGUUUAUUAUAGAAACACAAGUUGAACACUACACAUUUAAUCUAACUAGAAUAUUAAUGUAAAAAAUAUUAGUCGGGUAAACCUUAAGUUAAUUAUUUAAAAUACGUGAUCUGACAAUCUAACGUUAUUAACUGGAGUUAUAGACGGAACUAAUUUAUUAUCACACACCGACGCCGCGCGACACACGAACCGGACGAGUGGCACGAACGCGCGAAGGAAAUGUCGACACACGCAAACAACGCGUGAAUGGCACGCGAACAUGCACGCGAUAUCGUGCAGGCAGCGCGAUAGCGCGCAACGAUGCGUGACGACGUGCCGACACACGCGACGUACGCACAUGACAUGCGUCAACGCGUGCGAACGGCACGCGACACGCGAGAAUAACGCAUGAACUAUACGCACGAACAACACGACGACGGCGAGCGUCACACGUGCGAACAGCGCGUAGAUAGUGCGACGACGCGCACGACUCACAAGAGUCGCUAACAGACAUCGUGUUUAUACUAAACACUAAAUACGUAUUAAAUACCACGUCUAAAUUGUUAAAAUCACAUUACCACCUAUUUACAGUCGCCUGACUAAAAUCAUAAUUUUAAUCCGAUUGAGUAUUCAGUUUACUGACCGAUAAUUAAAUAGGAAAUUAAUUAGCGCAGGGGGAUAGACGAGCUAGACGGGGGUAGACGGGAGUCGUCUAGGGGUAGACGGAUGUCGUCGGGACCCGACGACACGCUGCGCGUACGCGAAACAAUGCGCACAACAGCGUGCGACACGCGCGAGUCAACACGACUACGCGCACGAAUAGCAUGCUGAAGCACAAAUGAGAACUACUACAUAGAUGUCGCCUCUAUACUAAACAAGUAUUAACUUUAAAACAUUUGAUUUGGCCUGAUUAUAUUAAUCGAUAUUUAUUAAAUGAAACUAGAGCUAUCGCCCAAUUUUAAUUAGCUGACCACACUAACAAUUCUUAGUUAAAUAAGUAAUUUAAAUAACAUCAGCGACUCUAAGCGGGACGAAUUAGCGGAGCGAGACGAAAUACGUAAUGCGCAAAACAGCACGGCAGCACGCGCACAAUACGCGUACAGCACGCGUACGGCGCGUGACCGACACAACACGCGGGGACUAAUAAAUAGAUAUUGUGUUUAUACUGCACAAUUAUUAAUGAAAGAGUAUUUAAGUUAAUAUUAAUCAUGUUGAUAUUUAUUUAUAAAAACCCAAGUUGAAAACUAUAAAUUAGAUUUAAUUGGAAUGCUAAUUUAAUAAACGUUAGCUUAAACAAAUAUUUAAUAAUUUAUUUAAAACAUAUGACAUAAUGAAACAAUAUUAUUAACACAUGGGCAGAGAUAUAAUGAAGCUAACGUAACUCGAAUGAACUAAAUCGGACAUCUAACACGAAAGAUAUGAAGGUUUAAUAAAUCCGGCCAUGAUUAAAAAAAGAAACGAUUUCUUUCCUUCCUGUAAGUUGCAACCUCACGAGGUUUCUUCUCUGUUUCUGACGCAAGAGCAAUUACCUUUCUCUCUCUCCUAUGCUCGACACGAAUUGGCCAUCGCAAGGGAGGAUGGGAUCACGUGGGGGAGGAGGGGAAGUGGUGCUGGCCAGAGCACGACAGGGCAGCGCAGGGGCUCGCCGGCCGGCUUGCAGGGGAGUGGCGCGGACUGGCCUGGCCAGGACUGGGCGCUGGGCUUCAGCGCAGGUGCCAGGGAACCACGGCCAAGGCUGGGCAACGGUGGGACUCGCCGGACGGAGGCCGCACCGGCAGGGGACCUCGCCGGGCCGUGUGCCGUGCCCGUGCCUAAGCCACCGUGAAGUGCUGGCCGCGCGCAGGGGCAAGCGCCGCUGGAACUGGAGAGGGCACUAGCCAUCCAUGAGUAAGGUUCGGCGCUGGGGAUCUCGACCGACUAGGUGAAGGCUACCAGCAGCCGACUAGACGACGGCGGCUCCUGCUCGCCAGGCGAGAGCACGCGGGGCGUGCUGGGCUGGGCGAGCCUGGGCGAGGCUGGGCUGCGCGCGGCCUGCUGCACCUGGGCAAGGGGGCAGGGGGUGGGCGAGCUGGAGCCACGCCCGGGGCAGACGACGCCGCUGGGGCCACGCUUGACUGCGUUUUGGGCGCAGGGGAGGGCAACCAUGGCCAUGAGGGAUGGGGAGGCACACGCGAGGGGCUUCACCAGGAGGAGAGGAAUUGCUCGGCAGGGGGCGGAGAUGGCUGCUCGCCGGGGAAGAAGUCCGACGCUCGGCGAUGGUUGGCUCACGGAAGGGGUGGACGAGCGGCCGCGCCGUUGGAGGAGAUAGCCAGGGGGGUGCGCCUGGGCUAGGGGAUUUCAUCGAGGCAUGGGGGUGAGCAGGGGGCUCGCCGGGAGGAGAGAACGCGUGGGGAGGGAGGGAGGAGAGGAAGAGGACUCACCUAAAAACCGCCAUGUGCAGGGACGUCAGCAUCUGCGCGAUUUGGAUCUGAGGCGAUUUGGAUCUGGAGAGGGAGACGAGAGGUUAUGUGACGGCAGUGGUUAUAUAAAAGAGAACGCGGGAGUAGAUUGCCAAAUUCGUCGUCAAUUGCGUCGCGACCGAGAGAGAGGCGG